rnacentral:lncRNA from 1 species
UAUUAUUAACAUAUAUUUAUAUUAUAUGUUAUAUAUCAUAUGAGAAAUAAUACUAUGAGACCCUCCCACACCCAUGUGAAUAGGACCCCAAAAGAUCACUAUCAAAUUUGGCAUAGAUCUCUAGAAAAGUUAUAACAUGGGUAUGGGACUUAGCUUUUUUAGAUCUGUGCAAAAUUUGAUGGUGAUCAUUUGGGGUUCUACUCACAUGAACGUGAGAGGGUCUCAUAGGAUCAUUACUCAUAUCAUAUAUAUACUAUUAAUAAUAUUUGUACUAUAUAUAAUAUAAUAUCUAUCGGAUGUCUCCCAAGAGAAAGAUAAUAAUUCAGAUAUUUCACCAAAAUUAUAACUUGUAAUCCAAAAAGAGGACCAUAGAGGGAAUAACAAUGUGAUCAGCAAAAAGUCUCAUGCAUGUGAAUUAUCAUAGAGAGAAAUCCCAAUAGAUUAUUUCAUCAUCAUCGUUAGAGUCUUAUCCCAACUCUUCGGAGUCUGUUACACACCAUUCUGAGUAAAAUGGAUAAUGAACAGUUCAAAAUCACCAGUUUUUGUGAAGAGGAGGUUACUUACAUUAAACCCCACGAUAUGAAUAUAUCAAGGACGAGGUUUGGAUGUCUCAACUAACACACCCAAUUCAAAAGUGUGCCUCCUUUCAAAAUCCAUGUUACUAAUAGCUUUUGGAUCUGAAAUUUAACAGGUCGAUAAUCUGGACCAUGAUGAUCAUCACUUCGGAAAAAAGAAAAAAAGAAUCUUAUAACAAGAUGAAAUUAGAUUUAUUUUUGACUAUUUAUGAACCAUUCAUUUAUAUUCUAUUAAAAUAGUCUCUGUUUAAAGCACAGUUGUUGAGAGCAGGAACGGGUCCGGGAGCCUAGGACCAGCACUUAGUUAAAGCUCCCUACCCUUGAAGCGCUUGGGAGCGUUGGUCAAGGAGCGACCUAAGAGCGAUCUUGUAUAUAUAAUUUACAUGUAUAUAGGAGAACAGGGGGAGCACCCCAAAUAUUACAUAUAUAUAUAUAUAUAUAUAGGAAAAGUCUUCCCAACGCCUAUAGGCGAAAAAUAAAUAGUGAUUUCGCCUAUGCUCAUCACCGUCCAAAGUUCAUCGCACAGUCACGAUUGUCAAGUAGUGUUUCAAUUUUUAUUUUUUUUUUAUAAAUCGAAAUUAUUUGAAAUUUGGAGUGUAUACAUCUUAGUGAGGUGGACCUAAUAAAAAUAUAAAAAACAUAUUUCGCAAAAUAAAAAUGGAUCAAAAUACCCAGAUCAUUCCGAUUUGUAGAAAAUAAAUGAAAAUUGAAGUACCACCGGACAACUGUGACCGUGCGAUGAACUUUGAACAGUGAUGAGCAUAGGCGAAAUCACGGUUCAUUUUCGCCCAUAAGCGUUGCGUAGUGUUUUCUAUAUAUAUAGGGAAAAGUUUACAUAGAGCUAAAGGCUCUAAACAAUCAAAUAAGAGCCUUCCUCAAAAUUUUAACUAGAAGAGGUUGUUUUGAUACCCAAAUUUCCUCAAAUUGAUCAUCUCGACAUCAAGAUGCAUGGACACAAGAGAAAAAUGGAUUUCAAGUUCUAAAAAUUAUUUAUUUUGUAAUAUAGUUUUGGACCAUCAAUUUUCAAGAUUUUCAAGUUCUCAUAGAUCUGUCGAUCUACACUAUUUUUUAAGCUUUAAACUUUAUAAAUAAAGAUGAAAAUACAUUUUAAGGCCAUCACAUAGAUUUCCAGUAUUGAAACCACAUAUCUCGAAACAAUUUGAAGCUAGGCUCUAAUUUGAUUUUUCAGAGCCUAAACUCUAUACAAACCACUCCAUAUAUAUAUAUAUAUAUAUAUAUGGGGAAAAGAUCUUGUCAGCCAACGGCCCAAAUUGAAUUUAAGCCCAAUCCAAU